GAUGAACGCUGGCGGCGUGCCUAAUACAUGCAAGUCGAGCGAACAGACGAGGAGCUUGCUCCUCUGACGUUAGCGGCGGACGGGUGAGUAACACGUGGAUAACCUACCUAUAAGACUGGGAUAACUUCGGGAAACCGGAGCUAAUACCGGAUAAUAUAUUGAACCGCAUGGUUCAAUAGUGAAAGACGGUUUUGCUGUCACUUAUAGAUGGAUCCGCGCCGCAUUAGCUAGUUGGUAAGGUAACGGCUUACCAAGGCAACGAUGCGUAGCCGACCUGAGAGGGUGAUCGGCCACACUGGAACUGAGACACGGUCCAGACUCCUACGGGAGGCAGCAGUAGGGAAUCUUCCGCAAUGGGCGAAAGCCUGACGGAGCAACGCCGCGUGAGUGAUGAAGGUCUUCGGAUCGUAAAACUCUGGUAUUAGGGAAGAACAAAUGUGUAAGUAACUAUGCACGUCUUGACGGUACCUAAUCAGAAAGCCACGGCUAACUACGU
rnacentral:rRNA from 1 species